rnacentral:rRNA from 1 species
UACGUAGGGUGCAAGCGUUGUCCGGAAUUAUUGGGCGUAAAGAGCUCGUAGGCGGUCUGUCACGUCGGCUGUGAAAACCCGGGGCUCAACCCCGGGCCUGCAGUCGAUACGGGCAGACUAGAGUGCGGUAGGGGAGACUGGAAUUCCUGGUGUAGCGGUGAAAUGCGCAGAUAUCGGGAGGAACACCGGUGGCGAAGGCGGUUCUCUGGGCCUGUUCUGACGCUGAGGAGCGAAAGCGUGGGGAGCGAACAGG